GGUUCCAUGGUGUAAUGGUUAGCACUUUGGACUUUGAAUCCAGCGAUCCUAGUUCAAAUCUCGGUGGAACCU
rfam:Biomphalaria glabrata isolate BB02 unplaced genomic scaffold LGTN_random_Scaffold11246, whole genome shotgun sequence.